CGCAAAAGAUACUUUCUCUGUGAUAUUGCUGUGAUUAAAGUGCUCAUUUCAGAAUAAUCUGAAGAAGACACCCAUAAUCAAGGAUACAUUCAGGUUUUUGAAAUAACCAAGAUUCGAAUAAGCCUCCCAAGAUGGAGCCUGCAACUAAAGAAGUGUUUGAGAAGCUGAAGCCAGUGUGCAUCCCUCUGAUAAAAGAACCAACCCCUGAGAAUAUUGCCAGGCUUGAUGCUACAUUGAAGGAUUUAAGUGUUCAGGCCUUACAACAGCUUCAGGAAUAUGUGUUGUUCCCUUUGAGACUUGCUCUGAAGAGUUCAUCAUCUCUCUCUGAUAAGGAAUGCAUCGGAGUGUUAGAUUGUAUGACUGAUAUUCUGAAGAAAACAACCGUCACAAACUGGGAACUAUUUCAAGACUUAUUCAACUGUCUCUGUCUGCUCCUGAGUUCCCCUGGCCAGGACGUGCAAUUAAACCAAGGUUCAGAAGAAUGGAAGAUUGCUAUUGUUGGUUGUCUCAUGGCUUUGAUUUCACAGUCCUCUCUUGGUGUUCUGACCAGUGUGUACCAGGUGGAGUUCCUUCCUGCACUGGGCCAUGCAGUAUCCUCACUACUCACUCUCACCCAGCAUGAGCGAUACCAGAAGCUGAAGGUCUCUGCCAUAGAAUGCCUAUUGGUGCUUGCUCAAGUAGACGGGAAAGGUGAUCAGUAUUUGAUGUGCCGUAUUGGUGACAUAUUUCCCUCGUUCCUUCCCGGGAUUGCGAUUGCUCUGAGUAAAGUCAUCACCGGUGAUGUGAAGCAAGGCCAAGCAGUCACUGUACAUGCGAUUAGAGCGUGGGCAAGUCUUGUCACCUUGGUUGUCGGAGAUGCCACAUUAACAUGGGCUCAAAAUAAACAGAUAAGUGUCAAAGCCAAGAAUGAAAAACAACAGCAGUUGGUCAUUGAGAGGUCACCUGACUGGGCUCAAGCUACAGCUGAUAAACUAGACAUUCUGAUUGGUCGGAUAGUGACCUUGACCUCUCAUGCUAAUUGGAAGGUGAGGCUGGCAAUGGUCAAUUGGGCGGAGCAGCUACUUAAUGAAUGUCAGCGAACUCUGAAGGGAAGUAUCCCCAAGCUGCUGGAGGUGAUUGUUGGCUUGACUACUGAUGAUUACCCCAAUGUGUGCAAGAGAAGUGAGAAAGUGCUGGAGGAAUAUAGGAGUCACCAGACAAGAGUGGGAGUGAAAUCGCUAGUUGAACUGUUGGAGGAGAACUUGUACACACUGGCUACAACACUGCCAAGGUUAAUCAGGACUGCUGAUGAUGAGGAGAAGCUGAAGACAGUUCGGUUGCUCAGUGGAUACUUAAAAAUAUUAGGCCCUAACAUGAGUGACAUGUUCAACUCCUGCUCUCAUAUCCGACGCCUGGGCUGGUCUCUGAUGCAGGUGGUGGAACUCUCCUGUGGUGACCUUAACAUCGUGGAAGAGAGGACGGCGAAUAUGGAUUCAUCAGCAGGCACAAAGGAAUUCUCCAUGCAGAAAAUACUCAAGUCCAGAAAAACGUUCAAGCAUUUUUCUGAUGGGAACAUAUUUACUCAGAUUUGUACAACAUGCCAUUACAUCGGAUAUUAUGGUGAUUUGAGCCUGUUAGUUGACUACUUUACGGAACAGAUUCUGACUUCUCGCCUGUAUCGGAAAGAAGCCAUCCUCAUCCUGAAUGAAAUCAUCCUGGGUUGCUGUGGGGACCAGACUUGCUCAGAUGUUACAGAGGAUCAACGCUGUCUCGUGGAUACAAUAAGUUCUCUGGCUGAGCUGUAUAUGUCCGAUAUGCUGUAUAAUGUUUCCACAGGCAUUACAGCCUGGACUGGAACCCUUAAGCCAAGCAGCACGACAGACCUGACUCAGAUGUUGGCAUGUACAAGUAUAUCUCCAAAGAGCAACCUCUCACCAACUCUACUCACUAUAAACAGCAAUAUACAGCAAAUUUGUCUUCUAGUUGAGGGAAUAGCCAACUUUGCAAUGGUGCUUGGAGGGAGUUUCUCCCCAUUAAUGAUGGUGGUGCUGUACCCACUCCUGGAGAAGCGGGGUGAUGACACACUGGCUAUCAGUCGGACGGCACUCUAUACCAUACAGACAAUCUGUGAUAAAACAGGUUACAGUUGCAUCAGUGACAUGAUCUGCUCUAACAUUGACUAUCUCAUGCACACCAUCUCGCUCAAGAUGCGUCACUUCUCGUCCUCCAUGAGGGCGCCAUUAGUCCUUGGGGUGAUGUUUGAUCUCUCGGGUCAACAGUUGCUGUCAUAUCUCAAAGAUACUAUUCACGAGGUUUUCCUCUGCCUUGAUGAUCACCAUGGAGAGGAUGCAUUCCUGCUUAUGAGAGUCUUGGCUAAACUCAUCUCUGCAAUCAAUCGUUGGUAUGGUAUGAAUCUAACAGAGUUGACUCGUCCAUCCACUGAAACAUCUUCUGCAAUGGAGCUUGAACAGAAAUCAUGUCAAACAUUGCGCGAGUAUUUUUUGGAGUAUGACCGACAUGCAAAAAUAGCAAGAAUGGAAAAUCUGGAUACAGAGGAUACAGAAGACAUUUCAUCUGAACCUGAGGAUGUGAAUGACAUGUCAGAUGUCAAGAAAGUAGUUCCACAACAUGUUGAGUGUGUGAUUGCAACACUGGACAGGUGCUGCCACCUUGUUGCCUCCAGGGAGCCUAGGCUGCGUCUGAUUGUUCUUGACAUCAUCUGCGAUGGCUGUGCCGCUCUUUCCAAUAACAAAGAUGAACUUCUUCCCUCUGUCCACAGGCUGUGGUCUCCAUUGGUCAAUAGGUUUCAAGAUGAUGAGCCAGUGGUUAUAAUCAAGGCAUUCGAAACUCUUUGCAUUAUCAGUGACUUGUGCGGUGAUUUCCUUAAUCGGCGGGUCAUUAAGGAAAUUCUACCAAAAGUUUGUGACUUCCUUAAAACACAAGCUGCCAUUAGUGAAAGAAUCGGACCGACCCAGAAAUUCAGUCUUGGCUAUAAAUCCCAGUUAGCCAUUCUUCAGAGGAUCGGUAAACUUUGCAAAGAGUUAAAUAUCCAAGAAGAGUACUGUGAGAAUGCGAUCACUGGUUGCCUACCAUACCUGUCUGCUAGACAACCCCUCCCACUUCAAGAGGCAUGCUUAGAAACCUUUACGGCUUUAAUACGAGUUGAGCCUGAUAUCGUUUGGCUGCGACUGAUGGAUAUCUGGUGUCCGACCAAGCCAGCCCCUCCACACUACACACUAAACCUCAUCAAGUUUGCCAGUACAUUAGAAACUGGUCGGACAGUCUACUCUGACAAUAUUGAGAGGCUCCUCAACAUUCUACAGGACAGGCAAGUUAACAGCUGAUAGGGGAACGUCACUACAUCUCUUCUUUGCCAUAGCCCGCGACACAAUGAACAAUCCAGAAGAGAUUACCCAAACAUUCAUCAAGCAAGUGAAAUUUUUGGAUAAGCUAAUCUCAACUUUGAAAUUUUUGGAUAAGCUAAUCUCAACUUUUGCCUUUGUGGCAAAAUGUCUGUUGUUCCGUGACUUCCCUGCAGCCAAUACGAACUUUGGUUCAAAGUUAUCAGGUGAUUAUUAUAACCUCUGUUGUGUGGCUUAAUUCACAUCUGGAAACACAAGAACUAGCAAGAACAGGUCACAAGAACGACUGCGUCAUUCAAACUGAGAGGAGAGGGUAUGGGUUCUAAUUUGCUGUGGUGGUGAAUCAUAAAAAAGUAUUUUAGUACCCCACUUUGUGUGUACCCCAAAUUUUAGCUGGAUCAAAGUUCAAAUAUAGCAGUGAUCAUAUCUUUUUAUUAUUAUACGCCCGCUCCGGAGCGUAUUAUGGUAUGGCCCUCGGUGUCCGUCUGCUCGUCGGGCCGUCCGUCCGUCCGUUAACUUUUCAUUGUCCACGCGAUUACUGAAAUUCAACAUGUAUAUUCUACAUCAUGUAUAGUCACCAAACCUGGUUUGCAGGGCACUAGUAUAGGCCCGAAGAAGCCUAUUGAUUUGGAGGUCCAAAGGUCAAAGGUCAAGGUCACGAAGACCUGUUUCCAUUUUCCACUUACCUGCUACUUCACACACUUUUCACCCUGACCAACCACCCUUUACUCUUAUGGCGGGCGUAUAAUGUGCUCUCUCUGUGUAGCUCUUGUUUGUAUUGUCAUGGUAUAGGCAUCUCAAUAUGUUGACAAGAAUUAAGGUUGAAGGUGAUAGAAGGUCGGUGUCUUCAAAUGUUUCGUGAAAAAAAGGAAUUUUCUGAUAAGUCUUGCAAAACGAAAUUUUAUAUGAUUAAUAUUGUCAGUGUGAUUUCUGAUGAUAGCUAUAUAUCACACAGAUAUAUGGUUUGACCGGUUUUUUCAAGGUUUUAGAGGUCAAAGUUCGAAUUUAAAUGUUUGGUCAACUAGACACUGUUUGAAUAUUUUCUUUUCAUGUACGGUCAUUGUAUAGCAUAUCAGUAGGCACUGUUUGCUAUUGAAAAUCAGCCAAUGUGAUUCAUUGUUUCAUCACUAGGGGGAUUACCUGAAAACAGAAAGGUUGCAGUUGCUCACUUUCAAAAGUUAUGUGGCAAGUGUUUUGACGAAGGUUCGGAUACCAAUUAACAACGAGGAUGGUAGAAUUCGAACAAACACAGGACCCACCUGGUUAUGGCUGUUGCUUCUAACUCCAAUGGCAGCACCCUUCACGGUCGUUGAUACCAGUACCAAUCAGCUGUCCACCGUCGGCUGCCUCGUCUUCCGCUGCCCUGGAGACUAUGUCAAUACCCCCUUGGCUUCACACCCUGUUGCUAGCCUGUGGGCGGCGCAAUAUAUCUUGAAGAGAGGUUCUGGGUUCCUCUUAAACCUCGCGCUUGACCAACAAGCGGGCAAAGUUUAUAUUUGAUUAUGGAUAUGUUUAUAGUUUUGUACAAUAAUGCACAUAUACGUUUUGUCGACUAUAGUUUGAUAUAUAAUGUUGAAUUUUAACAAUACAUGGCUGGGCUAUACUGUUCUGACUUAUAAGUCAAAUUUGAAACAAGGAAUCAAAUAAA